rnacentral:rRNA from 1 species
GCCAGCAGGUAUAUCAUCCUGGAGCUUAAAACUGGCAGCCUUCUGAAGUUAAGCAGGUGUGAGUCUGGUCAGUACUCGGACAGGAGACCUCCUGGGAAAAAUUUAGGUCACUGCUGAAA